rnacentral:rRNA from 1 species
GAUGAACGCUAGCUACAGGCUUAACACAUGCAAGUCGAGGGGUAGCAGGGUAGCAAUACCGCUGACGACCGGCGCACGGGUGAGUAACACGUAUCCAACCUUCCCAUAACUCGGGGAUAGCCUUUCGAAAGAAAGAUUAAUACCCGAUGGUACUUAUAUAAGGCAUCUUAAAUAAGUUAAAGAUUUAUUGGUUAUGGAUGGGGAUGCGUUCCAUUAGAUAGUUGGUGAGGUAACGGCUCACCAAGUCUUCGAUGGAUAGGGGUUCUGAGAGGAAGGUCCCCACAUUGGUACUGAGACACGGACCAAACUCCUACGGGAGGCAGCAGUGAGGAAUAUUGGUCAAUGGGCGAGAGCCUGAACCAGCCAAGUAGCGUGAAGGAUGAAGGUCCUAUGGAUUGUAAACUUCUUUUAUAGUAGAAUAAAGUGACCCACGUGUGGGUUUUGUAUGUAUACUAUGAAUAAGGAUCGGCUAACUCCGUG